rnacentral:rRNA from 1 species
UUUAAAUUGAGAGUUUGAUCCUGGCUCAGGACGAACGCUGGCGGCGUGCCUAACACAUGCAAGUCGAGCGAU